GGCACUAUUCCUGUUAAUGAGGAUAAAUUCUGUGCAGAGGUCUCUUCAUUAUUGACCCUAAUGGUGUCAUCAAGCACCUGAGUGUCAAUGACCUUCCGGUGGGCCGAAGUGUGGAAGAAACACUCCGUUUGGUAAAGGCGUUCCAGUUUGUGGAGACCCAUGGAGAAGUCUGCCCAGCCAACUGGACACCAGAGUCCCCUACGAUCAAGCCAAGUCCAACAGCUUCAAAAGAGUACUUUGAGAAGGUCCAUCAAUAAUAGGUCAUCCUAUGUCUGCUGUUUACCUGAAGCUUCUCAUGCCAAAAGAGAGCCCCAGCUGGAAUCCUGAAGAUUAUUUAUAGAAUGGCAAAACCUCACCAUGCUUGUGUUUAUAAGUACUGCUCCAUGGGCUUUGUAAUUUUAAGACAGGUUCAGGUUAAAGGUGGCCAGCUCCUUCCAUAGCUGUCCUUACUAGGGACUUCUUGAUGGCUACCAAUUCUCUACAAGUGCUUGGUCCCCAUUUCUUAGAUCAUGUCUUCAGAGGGUUAAGAUUUCUUAGCCUGCCCUGAAGCUUGGUCUACAGUGAAGUAGCACAUAGCACCAGUACUUAGUGAAAUGAAGUAGCACAUAGCGCCAGCACUUAGUGAAAUGAAGUAGCAUAUAGUGCCAGCACUUAGUGAAAGCUUCUGAUCAAGGUCCUGAAAUUUCCUCUUGGAUUUUUGUUAAUUAUGCUGAAUUUCCCAUUAUUUUUUAGUGUAGUCAUUAACUCACAGUGUCCUUGUGUGUUCUAAGGUAUUGAUGAGUUAUAAUCAUGAAGGACUAUGUUUCUAAAACACUAUGUCAUUUUCUUUUCUUCAAGUGCUGGAUGUAAAGAAUAAAAAUAAACAUUAAGAUACUUGACAUCAUUAACUGUCAAUUUAUUCUGGGGCACUGCUCCUCCUUUGAUGACUUAGCUCAACAAGUACCUGUUUACUGGGCAUUUUACACGGAGCUGUCUCCACUCUUAGGAAACUGAAAUUAGCAGGCAAGAUACCUAAACUUUCAUCCCUUAUUUUGCUAGCUCCUGGAAUGAAAACCAUGCCAGGUUGGUCCUGGAGGCAUUGGAGUGAAGAAAAAUAAACCUUUGUCUUUAUUCCCUUGAUUCUGGAAGAGAAGCUCAAUAAACAGAAAUCAGGUACUUGCAGGGUUCUGAGUAGGUUUUUCAGGGAAGUCUUUAGGGAGAAGAGUCUGGUUCUAUUUUUGCAUAUGUAAAAUGAGUGUAAAUAUAUAUAUAUAUAUAUCUUGGGGUUUUGAGGAAAAAAACAGAAAGGGGGAUUAGCAAGUGUCUUAGUGGCUUUUCUUUUGCUGUGACAAAACAUGACAAGACAACUUAUAAAAGAAUUUGUUUUGGA
rnacentral:lncRNA from 1 species